rnacentral:rRNA from 1 species
AUUGAACGCUGGCGGCAGGCUUAACACAUGCAAGUCGAACGAGUGGCGGACGGGUGAGUAAUGUCUGGGAAUCUGGCUGAUGGAGGGGGAUAACUACUGGAAACGGUAGCUAAUACCGCAUACCAUCGGAUGAGCCCAAGUGGGAUUAGGUAGUGGGUGGGGUAAAGGCUCACCAAGCCGACGAUCCCUAGCUGGUCUGAGAGGAUGACCAGCCACACUGGGACUGAGACACGGCCCAGACUCCUACGGGAGGCAGCAGUGGGGAAUAUUGCGCAAUGGGCGCAAGCCUGACGCAGCCAUGCCGCGUGUAUGAAGAAGGCCUUCGGGUUGUAAAGUUCUUUCGGCAGGGAGGCGUUACCCGCAGAAGAAGCACCGGCUAACUCCGUGCCAGCAGCCGCGGUAAUAC